UACGUAGGGUGCAAGCGUUAAUCGGAAUUACUGGGCGUAAAGCGUGCGCAGGCGGUUUUGUAAGCCAGAUGUGAAAUCCCCGGGCUUAACCUGGGAAUGGCAUUUGGGACUGCAAGGCUAGAGUACGGCAGAGGAGACUAGAAUUCCUGGUGUAGCAGUGAAAUGCGUAGAUAUCAGGAGGAAUACCGAUGGCGAAGGCAGGUCUCUGGGCUGAUACUGACGCUCAUGCACGAAAGCGUGGGGAGCAAACAGG
rnacentral:rRNA from 1 species